UGGCUCAGAACGAACGCUGGCGGCAGGCCUAACACAUGCAAGUCGAGCGCCCCGCAAGGGGAGCGGCAGACGGGAGAGUAACACGUGGGAACGUGCCCUUCAGUUCGGAACAACCCAGGGAAACUUGGGCUAAUACCGGAUACGUCCGUAAGGAGAAAGAUUUAUCGCUGAAGGAUCGGCCCGCGUCUGAUUAGCUAGUUGGUGGGGUAAUGGCCCACCAAGGCGAGGAUCAGUAGCUGGUCUGAGAGGAUGAUCAGCCUCACUGGGACUGUUUUCACGGCCCAGGGACCUACGGGAGGCAUCAUCCGGAUCUUGGA
rnacentral:rRNA from 2 species